CCAUCUGAGAACACUGGUGCAAUGGCCCUUUGUGAUCAGAGUGCCACAUGUUUAGUUAGAACAGUACCAAGAAAUAAAUUAAGAAGAAAAUUAAUUAAUUAAGUGAUCAGAGUUCGUCAAGUUCAAUUAUCGAUUGAAUUUCUGCUAUAAAAAAUUUGAAGAUGAAGAUACGGUUGAAGCGGUAUCAAAAACUUGGUACUCAAAAGAUACAAAAGAAUGCAACUGGCCUCCAUCGCAUUGGAAUCCAAAUAAAAUUAAUGAUUAUAUAAAAUUCAAGAAGGCGCCAGAAUAUGACUGGAAUCGUCAUAGAGUUAUCAUUUUAGGUACCUACGAAGAUCUAUCUGUUGCUCAACGAAAAGCGGAUAAGGCCAAAUAUACGUUUGAUCUUUCGUC